GAGACAGCCCUCCGCCAGCGCGGCGUCCAGGGGCUGGAGGUUUGGAGGAGCUGGUCUCAGCAGGAGCGGGUGGGAGGGUGAAGGUACCCCUGCAACUUACAGUCCAGGACGACCACCAGCCCACAGGCGACGCUGCGGGGGAGGCCUUCCAGGGAGAUGGGGUUCGCCGGCUCCGGCUUGGAGGCGAAGGGGAAAAAAACAGCAAUCAACAUUCGCACUGGAAGGCAGGUCUCAGAUUUUAGCAGCCGCCUUGGCCCCUUCUCAAUCUAAGCUUUCUGCUUCUUGGAGAGUUAAGGGGUGUGGAGAAGAUGUGGGAAAGUGUGCCUCGCAUUCUGCAAUUUAGAGAAAAGAGGGGGAAAAAGUCUUCCAUUUCAAGAACUGCGUACAUUUCCAAGUGCCUCUCAUAUAAAUUUCAAGCUCCUACGGAUAGAAUUUAAGGUGGAGUCCUUGGGACAGAGAGAUUGAGUGAUGGGCCCAUAAACACAGCAGCUCGUGCUGGUGGGCAGAGGGGGUUUGGACCGGCACCUGCCCUAGUCUAGGCUCAGUGCGCUGAGCCGUGAUGUGCACCGCUCACCGUCACCUCCACCUCAGCUGGUCAAGGCCUCUUCACCCUUCUGUCUCUGCUAAACUGCAGUUUCCUUAGGAAACUUCCCUGCCCUUCCUGACUAGAUCAAAUCCUAUUGCAAGCUCUCUUUACCCCUUCCUCUCUGGUAUCAAAGCGGGGAUUUUAAACUCAGUUGGUCACAAUCAGUCACCAGUGGGAGACUGUGGACUCCAUGAAGACAGGUUCUGUCUAAUUUUUAUCUCACUGUUACGGUCUCUUUUCCUAACCAAGCGCUUUUCAGAUAUUAAAUGCUCAAUAAAUAUUUGACUACUGGUGGGAUAUAUGGGUCCAAAAGUCUUUGACAAGAGUCAGAUUGUACUGUAAUUUUUUCUUUAAGCUAACCACGUAGUUCAGGCUGCUGUAACAAAGUACCAGAGACUGGUGGCCUAGAAACAACAGAGGCUUAUUUCUCACUGUUCUGGGGGCUAGGAGUCUGAGAUCAGGGCGCCAGCACAAUCAGGUCCUGGAAAGGGCCCUCGUCCGGGUUGCAGACAGCCAAAUUCUCAUUAUAUCCUCACAUGUGGAAAGAGCGCUCUUUUUACACAUCCACUAAUCCCAUUCGUGAGGGCUCCACCCUCCUGACCUAAUUAUCUCCCAAAGUCUCCACCUCCAGAUACCAUCACACUGGGAUUGCGGUUUCAAUAUAUGAAUUUUGAGCAGACACAAACAUUCAGUCCAUAACACCUAACAAUGUCUUCUGUAAGUCAGCCUUACUUUGAAGCUUCAAUAUCUCUCUAUGCCAAUCUCAUUGCUAAGGGCUCAUUUUUCAUUAUUAUCUCCUUUGAUUCUACAUAUGAAGGCACUGAGGGUCUGAAUGAGGUCCAAUAAAUUGCCCCAGGACACCCAGCUGGUCAAUGACAGAACGAGACACGAUUCCGGGUCUGUCUGCAUCUGAAGCCUUUACUCUACAGUGCUGCCAUGUCCCCUCCACUCUUGUAACCAACCGUCUUUCCAAGUCAAUCAAUCUACUGCCACGUCAGUCCUGAUGGCACCACUGUAUUUGCUGUGGGGUUAUAAUAACUGUUUAACAGAUCCAUAUUUUAUUUCCUUUUAGGUGGUUUUGAUUCUUUUUAACAUAAACAAUUUU